rnacentral:rRNA from 1 species
UACGAAGGGGGCUAGCGUUGCUCGGAAUCACUGGGCGUAAAGGGCGCGUAGGUGGCUUCUCAAGCGUGCGGUGAAAGCCUGGGGCUCAACCCCGGGUCGGCCGUGCGAACUGGGGGGCUGGAGCACUGUAGAGGCAGGCGGAAUUCCGGGUGUAGCGGUGGAAUGCGUAGAGAUCCGGAAGAACACCGGUGGCGAAGGCGGCCUGCUGGGCAGUUGCUGACACUGAGGCGCGACAGCGUGGGGAGCAAACAGGG